rnacentral:rRNA from 1 species
AUUGAAGGAAUCAGCGUGUGCUUUCCCUGUUCGAAAGGACUGGUACCCGUUGAAUCUGCUUCAUGCUGGGGAUAAGGGCUUGCAAUUGUUCCCCUUGAAU